CUUUGAAGCAUCUGUUUUCUAUAUUUUUUGUAUGUCUUACAACAUUCCAUAUUUCAGUGCGGCGGGUGGUGUAGGCUGGUACAUUGUGAUACAGGUUGGCGAUUUCCACAAGCGUAACAUU
rnacentral:lncRNA from 1 species